rnacentral:rRNA from 1 species
GAUGAACGCUGGCGGCGUGCCUAAUACAUGCAAGUCGAGCGAACAGACGAGGAGCUUGCUCCUCUGACGUUAGCGGCGGACGGGUGGGUAACACGUGGAUAACCUACCUAUAAGACUGGGAUAACUUCGGGAAACCGGAGCUAAUACCGGAUAAUAUAUUGAACCGCAUGGUUCAAUAGUGAAAGACGGUUUUGCUGUCACUUAUAGAUGGAUCCGCGCCGCAUUAGCUAGUUGGUAAGGUAACGGCUUACCAAGGCGACGAUGCGUAGCCGACCUGAGAGGGUGAUCGGCCACACUGGAACUGAGACACGGUCCAGACUCCUAAGGGAGGCAGCAGUAGGGAAUCUUGCGCAAAGGGAGAAAGCCGGACGGAGGAACGCCGCGUGGGUGAUGAAGGUCUUCGGAUCGUAAAACUCUGUUAUUAGGGAAGAACAAAUGUGUAAGUAACUAUGCACGUCUUGACGGUACCUAAUCAGAAAGCCACGGCUAACUACGUG